UACGUAGGAUGCAAGCGUUGUCCGGAUUUAUUGGGUUUAAAGGGUGCGUAGGCGGCCUAUUAAGUUAGUGGUAAAAACGUUCGGCUUAACCGGAUACCCGCCAUUGAUACUGAUAGACUUGAGUGCGACAGAGGGUGUUGGAAUGUGUGGUGUAGCGGUGAAAUGCUUAGAGAUCACGCAGAACACCAAUUGCGGAGGCAGAUGCCUAUGUCGUAACUGACGAUGAGGCACGAAAGCGUGGGGAGCAAACAGG
rnacentral:rRNA from 1 species